AAAGAGACUUGGCAGAAGCGCAGAUUAAAGGAACUGUGGGAGACGGGAACUAACGUUGACAUCACACUCACGGGAAACUACGCUACGACAGCUGUGGAGGAAUGCCAGCCGGGGUCUGCGGGUGCUGCGGGCCUCUCCGGCCCCGCUACAAGCGUCUUGUGGACAACAUCUUCCCUGAGGACCCAAAGGAUGGCCUGGUGAAAGCGGACAUGGAGAAGCUGACUUUCUAUGCUGUCUCCGCCCCAGAGAAGCUGGACCGAAUCGGAGCGUACCUGGCAGAGAGAUUGAGCCGAGACGUAGUCCGACACCGCUAUGGGUAUGUGGUUAUCGCCAUGGAAGCGCUGGAUCAGCUGCUGAUGGCGUGUCACUCCCAGAGCAUCAAGCCGUUCGUGGAGAGUUUCCUUCACAUGGUGGCCAAGCUGCUCGAGUCCCGGGAGCCGGACCUGCAAGUACUGGGGACCAACUCAUUUGUGAAGUUUGCGAACAUUGAAGAGGACACCCCCAGCUAUCACCGCCGGUACGACUUCUUCGUGUCUCAGUUCAGUGCCAUGUGCCACUCCACACACGAAGACCCCGAGACACAGACCAGGAUCCGUGUCGCUGGUAUUAAAGGGCUGCAGGGGGUGGUGAGGAAGACGGUGAACGACGAGCUUCAGGCGAUCAUCUGGGAACCCCAACACAUGGACAAGCUGAUCCCCUCACUCCUGUUCAACAUGCAGGACUCAGACGAGACAGAGGGGCCGUCAGGAGAGGAGAAUCCGGCGUCUCUGGCUGAAAGUUGUUUCCGGGAGCUGUUGGGACGAGCCGCCUACGGCAACAUGAACAACGCCGUCCGUCCUGUGCUGGUGCACCUGGAUAAUCAUCGACUGUGGGAUACUAAUGAGUUUUCCGUCUCCUGCUUCCGCAUCAUCAUGUACUCAAUACAGGCACAGCACUCUCACCAUGUGAUCCAGCAGGUGUUGGGACAUCUCGACACACACUCUAAGAACACGCCACGUGUGCGCGCAGGAAUCGUGCAGGUGCUCCUGGAAACGGUUGCCAUAGCAGCCAAAGGUUCAGUAGGGCCAGCAUCUACUCAUAGGGGCGGGGACUAUACGUGGGUUAACCCCACAUGUUCCCCGCCCAAUCUCUGGUUGGGGCCCACCGUGUUGGAGGUCUUUAACACACUCCUGAAACACCUGCGUGUGUCCGUGGACGGGGAGCUGGCUGACGGGAGGCGGGUUUCCAACUGCAGCGUGUCAUCAUCCCGCGCCAGAGACAGAGAGAGCGUGUCAUCGCUCCGCGCCAGGGACAGAGAUAGCGUGUCAUCAUCCCGCGCCAGAGACAGUGAUGAAAGGAUUGUCCAGAAUGCCAUCAUUCAGACCAUAGGCUUCUUUGGGGGAAACUUGCCAGAUUACCAGCGUGCUGAGGUCAUGAUGUUCAUUAUGGGGAAGAUUCCUGUCUACGGCACGCCCUGUCACUCACUGGACACUGUCAAGAUUGGGCAUCAGGGCACUAAGAGGAUCCAAGCCAUGUUGCUCAACUCUCUCAUCAUGGUGACAUCAGGCUUCAAGUCUAAGACCAUGUGUGCGGCUCUGCCUGCCGCCUUCCUUGAGCCCCUGUGUUCCGUGUCUCUGAUGGAAGAUUCCGAGCUCCGCCUCCUUGUCCUGGAGAUUCUUCACAACAUAAUCGAUCGCCAUGACAACCGAGCCAAGCUCCGUGGCAUACGAAUUAUUCCUAAUGUUGCUGCUUUGAAAAUCAAACGUGAGAAAAUAUCGAAGCAAGAUGUUACGUUCAUGAAGAAGGUAAGCGUGUGCAUACCCAGAUACACACACACACACACACACACACACAGACACACAGACACAGAGAGAGACACACACACACAGACACACACACACAAACACACACACAAACACACACACGGACACAUGCGCACACACACACACAUACCCACACAGACACACUCAAAUGAAAUCAUGGGGUG
ensembl:lncRNA